rnacentral:rRNA from 1 species
ACUGAACGCUAGCGGGAUGCUUUACACAUGCAAGUCGAACGGUGUUGCGGUCGGGUGAGUAAUACAUCGGUACGUGCCCAGUAGCGGGGGAUAACUACUCGAAAGAGUGGCUAAUCCUGCAUACCAUCGGCUCGUCCGCUAUCGGAUUAGCGAGUCGGUGGGGUAUAGGCUCACCAAGGUAACGAUCCGUAGCUGGUUUGAGAGGAUGACCAGCCACACGGGGACUGAGUCACGGCCCAGACUCCUACGGGAGGCAGCAGUGGGGAAUUUUGGACAAUGGGGGAAACCCUGAGCCAGCCAUCCCGCGUGUAUGAUGAAGGCCUUCGGGUUGUAAAGUACUUUUAGCAGAGAAGCGGUAUCUGCAGAAUAAGCACCGGCUAACUACGUGCCAGCCGCCGCGGUAAUUC